GUGGGCAGGGCUCAUUGCACAUCUGGUUAAAAUUAACAGCCAUCCUGCCAGCACUGGAUGAUGGUCCAACCUCUGAAUGCCAAGCUUUCCGGUUGAGAUGCCCUUCAUCAGGCAAAGGAGAAAUCCAAGAUGUUAAGAGUUCUGCCAGGUAGAAAGGCAACUUCAUCUUGCAGAGGAGAGACCACAGAUGCUGGGGUUUCUCCUGAGUGGAAAGGAAGGGAGGCUGGCCACAUCCCUACACGGGGCCUGAUCCAGUUUGUCUAG
rnacentral:lncRNA from 1 species